rnacentral:rRNA from 1 species
GACGAACGCUGGCGGCGUGCCUAAUACAUUGCAAGUGGAACGCAUUUUAAUCACCGUAGCUAGCUACACCGAAUAAAAUGAGUCGCGAACGGGUGAGUAACGCGUAGGUAACCUACCUUCUAGCGGGGGACAACUAUUGGAAACGAUAGCUAAUACCGCAUAAGACAUUAUAUCGCAUGAUAGGAUGUUAAAAGAUACAAUUGUAUCACUAGGAGAUGGACCUGCGUUGUAUUAGCUAGUUGGUGAGGUAACGGCUCACCAAGGCAGCGAUACAUAGCCGACCUGAGAGGGUGAUCGGCCACACUGGGACUGAGACACGGCCCAGACUCCUACGGGAGGCAGCAGUAGGGAAUCUUCGGCAAUGGGGGCAACCCUGACCGAGCAACGCCGCGUGAGUGAAGAAGGUUUUCGGAUCGUARAGCUCUGUUGUAAGCGAAGAAGAGUGUUAGGAGUGGAGAAAUCUAACACAUGACGGUAGCUUACCAGAAAGGGACGGCUAACUACGUGCCAGCAGCCGCGGUAAUACGUAGGUCUCGAGCGUUGUCCGGAUUUAUUGGGCGUAAAGCGAGCGCAGGCGGUUAGAUAAGUCAGAAGUUAAAGGCUGUGGCUCAACCAUAGUAUGCUUUUGAAACUGUUUAACUUGAGUGCAGAAGGGGAGAGUGGAAUUCCAUGUGUAGCGGUGAAAUGCGUAGAUAUAUGGAGGAACACCGGUGGCGAAAGCGGCUCUCUGGUCUGUGACUGACGCUGAGGCUCGAAAGCGUGGGUAGCGAACAGGAUUAGAUACCCUGGUAGUCCACGCCGUAAACGAUGAGUGCUAGGUGUUAGACCCUUUCCGGGGUUUAGUGCCGUAGCUAACGCAUUAAGCACUCCGCCUGGGGAGUACGACCGCAAGGUUGAAACUCAAAGGAAUUGACGGGGGCCCGCACAAGCGGUGGAGCAUGUGGUUUAAUUCGAAGCAACGCGAAGAACCUUACCAGGUCUUGACAUCCCUCUGACCGGUCUAGAGAUAGGCUUUCCCUUUUGGGCAGAGGAGACAGGUGGUGCAUGGUUGUCGUCAGCUCGUGUCGUGUGAUGUUGGGUUAAGUCCCGCAACGAGCGCAACCCUUAUUGUUAGUUGCCAUCAUUGAGUUGGGCACUCUAGCGAGACUGCCGGUAAUAAACCGGAGGAAGGUGGGGAUGACGUCAAAUCAUCAUGCCCCUUAUGACCUGGGCUACACACGUGCUAUAAUGGUUGGUACAACGAGUCGCAAGCCGGUGACGGCAAGCUAAUCUCUUAAAGCCAAUCUCAGUUCGGAUUGUAGGCUGCAACUCGCCUACAUGAAGUCGGAAUCGCUAGUAAUCGCGGAUCAGCACGCCGCGGUGAAUACGUUCCCGGGCCU